UACGUAGGGGGCUAGCGUUGUCCGGAAUCAUUGGGCGUAAAGCGCGUGUAGGCGGUCCGGUAAGUCCGCUGUGAAAGUCGGGGGCUCAACCCUCGGAUGCCGGUGGAUACUGUCGGGCUAGAGUCCGGAAGAGGCGAGUGGAAUUCCUGGUGUAGCGGUGAAAUGCGCAGAUAUCAGGAGGAACACCGAUGGCGAAGGCAGCUCGCUGGGACGGUACUGACGCUGAGGCGCGAAAGCGUGGGGAGCAAACAGG
rnacentral:rRNA from 1 species